CAGCUAGUUGGUGGGGUAAUGGCCCACCAAGGCUUAGACGCGUAGCUGGUCUGAGAGGAUGAUCAGCCACACUGGCACUGAAACACGGGCCAGACUCCUACGGGAGGCAGCAGUGGGGAAUAUUGGACAAUGGGCGCAAGCCUGAUCCAGCCACGCCGCGUGAGUGAUGAAGGCCUUCGGGUUGUAAAGCUCUGUGGGGAGGGACGAAAACGGCGCACAAGAAACGGUGCGUCCUUGACGGUACCUCCUUAGCAAGCACCGGCUAACUCUGUGCCAGCAGCCGCGGUAAUACAGAGGGUGCGAACGUUGCUCGGAAUUACUGGGCGUAAAGCGCAUGUAGGCGGAUCCAUAAGUCGGGCGUGAAAUCCCCAGGCUCAACCUGGGAACUGCGCUCGAAACUGUAGGUCUUGAGUGUCGGAGAGGAUGGCGGAAUUCCUGGUGUAGAGGUGAAAUUCGUAGAUAUCA
rnacentral:rRNA from 1 species